rnacentral:tRNA from 1 species
ACGUCCGUAGCUCAGUGAAUAGAGCGCUUGGCUUCGAACCAAGAGGCCGAAGGUUUGAAUCCUUCCGGGCGUA